rnacentral:rRNA from 1 species
AUAUCAAUAAGCGGAGGAAAAAGAAACUAACAAGGAUUCCCCUAGUAACUGCGAGUGAAGCGGGAAAAGCUCAAAUUUGAAAUCUGGCAGUUGUUGACUGUCCGAGUUGUAAUCUAGAGAAGUGUUACCUGUGCUGGACCGUGUACAAGUCUCCUGGAAUGGAGCAUCAUGGAGGGUGAGAAUCCCUCUUUGACACGGACUGCCAGGGCUUUGUGAUGCGCUCUCAAAGAGUCGAGUUGUUUGGGAAUGCAUG